GAUGAACGCUAGCGGCAGGCCUAACACAUGCAAGUCGAGGGAGAGGUUACCUUCGGGUAACCAAAACCGGCGCACGGGUGCGUAACGCGUAUACAAUCUGCCUUUCACAUAGGGAUAGCCCGCAGAAAUUUGGAUUAAUACCUAAUGGUAUAUAAGAGCGGCAUCGUUUUUAUAUUAAAGCUACGGUGGUGAAAGAUGAGUAUGCGUUCUAUUAGCUAGUUGGAGAGGUAACGGCUCCCCAAGGCGACGAUAGAUAGGGGUUCUGAGAGGGAUGUCCCCCACACUGGUACUGAGAUACGGACCAGACUCCUACGGGAGGCAGCAGUGAGGAAUAUUGGACAAUGGUCGGAAGACUGAUCCAGCCAUGCCGCGUGCAGGAUGAAGGUCCUAUGGAUUGUAAACUGCUUUUGUAAGGGAAGAAUAAGGAGUACGUGUACUUUGAUGACGGUACCUUACGAAUAAGCAUCGGCUAACUCCGUG
rnacentral:rRNA from 1 species